AAGUCGUAACAAGGUUUCCGUAGGUGAACCUGCGGAAGGAUCAUUAGUGAAUUUGUAGCCUCCAAGGCUCACAUUCUCUAUCCUUUACACACCUGUGCACCCUUCUGAAGCGGAGAGUUAUUAGGCGUUAGCCGAGCGCCUCCCUUCGGUUAUUAUAUCAAACUCAAACUACGUUUACUAGAAUGUAUACCGUCUUGUUGUAACGACAAGUACAAUCCAAUAAAACUUUCAGCAACGGAUCUCUUGGCUCAG
rnacentral:misc_RNA from 1 species